UACGGAGGGUGCAAGCGUUGUUCGGAAUCAUUGGGCGUAAAGCGCGUGUAGGCGGCUAGGUAAGUCUGAUGUGAAAGCCCGGGGCUCAACCCCGGAAGUGCAUUGGAUACUGUCUAGCUAGAGGGCGAGAGAGGAAAGUGGAAUUCCUGGUGUAGGGGUGAAAUCCGUAGAUAUCAGGAGGAACAUCAGUGGCGAAGGCGACUUUCUGGCUCGUUACUGACGCUGAGACGCGAAAGCGUGGGGAGCAAACAGG
rnacentral:rRNA from 1 species